rnacentral:rRNA from 1 species
AUGCCCGCCCGGGCUCAAACCCCCCUCCCCCACGAGCUCUUCCUCGACGUGCCGCUCUUUUCGUCCCUUCUCUCCUCCGCUCGCCGCUUGGUCGUAGAACUGGUCAGGGCAGGGGACAACAUGGCCGCCGCCAAGCAGCAGCCGCCGCUAUACAUUGCCGUCGCCGACGACCGCCAGAGGAGCACCUUCCCCUGCAUGCGCCCCAUCCUGCAGAGCGCGCUCCAGCUCAUGGGCUGCAAGCCACGCCACACCUUCAAGGAACGCAGCCAAAAGAACGCCGAUAACCAUAAGAAACAGAAGACAAAACAUAAAAUUGGAUCAAAAUCUUACUCGCAAGUAAGCUUUGAGAAGAGAAACUUGGAACUCACCCACACGAACGACGGAACAUGGUCUAACACAGAGUCCUAG